rnacentral:rRNA from 1 species
UACGGAGGGGGCUAGCGUUGUUCGGAAUUACUGGGCGUAAAGCGCACGUAGGCGGCUUUGUAAGUUAGAGGUGAAAGCCCGGGGCUCAACUCCGGAACUGCCUUUAAGACUGCAUCGCUUGAAUCAUGGAGAGGUCAGUGGAAUUCCGAGUGUAGAGGUGAAAUUCGUAGAUAUUCGGAAGAACACCAGUGGCGAAGGCGGCUGACUGGACAUGUAUUGACGCUGAGGUGCGAAAGCGUGGGGAGCAAACAGG